UACCAGCACCCCGAGCGGUCGGGACGAUUAUUGGGCCUAAAGCAUCCGUAGCCGGUUCUACAAGUCUUCCGUUAAAUCCACCUGCUUAACAGAUGGGCUGCGGAGGAUACUAUGGAGCUAGGAGGCGGGAGAGGCAAGCGGUACUUAGUGGGUAGGGGUAAAAUCCGUUGAUCCAUUGAAGACCACCAGUGGCGAAGGCGGUGCUCUGGGCCGGAACUGACGCUGAGGAGCGAAAGCGUGGGGAGCAAACAGG
rnacentral:rRNA from 1 species